UACGGGGGGGGGGGCAAGCGUUGUUCGGAAUUACUGGGCGUAAAAGGCUCGUAGGCGGCCAACUAAGUCAGACGUGAAAUCCCUCGGCUUAACCGGGGAACUGCAUCUGAUACUGGAUGGCUUGAGUUCGGGAGAGGGAUGCGGAAUUCCCAGGUGUAGCGGUGAAAAUGCGUAGAUAUCUGGAGGAACACCGGUGGCGAAGGCGGCAUCCUGGACCGACAACUGACGCUGAGGAGCGAAAGCCAGGGAGCAAACGGG
rnacentral:rRNA from 1 species